GUGACCGGUUGGUGUCACUGCCCUGCUCCACUGACAGACUAAGGAGGUCGUUCCUCCCCCAAGCCAUGCGACUCUUUAACUCAACUCAGGGUGGGAAAGUCAGUGCUGACACUACACUCUCUCUCUCUGUCCUGGACUGUAAAACAAACUACACACAAUACACUCUGGUUUGUACAGAACUCUCACUACACUGAGAUUUACACAGGACUCAUAAACAUGCAGCUUUUGCCCAUAAACAGUUUUUGCACAUCAGCUCUUUAUCUUCUGUACCUUUAAAUUCUUGUUUUUGCACAUUAUUUAUCUCUUUCUAGUAAUUUCUAGUAUUUAGUAUUUUUUGUUAUAUUCCUAUUUUAUUUUUUUUAUUUAUUACCUUAUUACUUGUGCUUGUGGAUACUGCUGGAACUUGUAAAUUUCCCAUUGGGAUGAAUAAGUGAAAAAUUCCGAGUCGGACUGAAGAUCAAACUGAACUCUGACAUUUCAUUUCACGGUUUUGUCUUUGCUCUUUAUGUAAAGCACAGAAGUGGCUGGAAAAAAACUGACCUCACCGCAGCAAUGCAAAGCACGCGCCUACAGAAGGGGGGUGGGGGGUGGGCUGACCUGC